CCCGCCGCCACUCGCCUGGUUGGGGUCGGUGGCCCGGAAGACGUGGCAGGCCAUGGGGGAGUCGGGGUUGUCGGGCUGCGCCUUGAUCAGUCAUCCCAUGAAACUUUCUGGCACAGCGGACUUUGAAUCCAGUGGAGAACAACAAUGCUCUUUGUUUAAAACGAAGUUUUAAUCUCGAGUCCUGUGUGCUUACCUGUAAAUCGACAUCUGUUGUCUUGACUCUGUUGACCAGUGAGCAUCUUUUGUCCCCCAUUCCCAAAUGUGAGAAGCAGCAUGACAUAGCACACCGGUGAUUCAUGCAAGACAUGCACUUUCAUUCCUCUACUCAUUUUAAAUGUAAACUUUUAACACCCCUCUCAAGCUUCCUGCAUGGUUGCAGCAUCCAGUACUUGCCAGUUCAGAAGCAUCACUGGGAAAGAAGCCUGCCUUGCUUUAAUUCGGCCAAGCUUUCGGAUGAAUGGUUUUUUUUAAAAAACACCUGUAACCUGCCUAAGACACAGCAGUGAUGACAUUCUGGCCCCACUAAUGGGGAACAGAAAAAUUCUUUGCAGUUUCAGUAGUGCCAAGAACAUCGGAACAUUAUUUUUCAGAUUCAGAGGUAAUUCACAGGGGAAUUAAGCAACAGGGCCACUGUCAGUGGCAGAGAAGUAUAUUCCUACGUGUGGCAUAAAGACACUGAAUACUAGGCUGCAUAACAAAAUACAGAAGAAGUGUAGUCAUAUGUUUGAAUUACCGCCUAGCCGUGGUGAUACUGCUCAAUUUAGGGUUAAACAUGAUGCAUUAUGCUUUAAGGAGAACCACUACUCAAUAGUUUCACUAUAUAGGCCUGGUUACUCUGUAUAAACAAUGCAGGCUUUACCCGCAACUAUACCUUUGAAGAAGGAACUAAAGACUGAUAAAAAGAAAACAUCCUGCUCCAGAAGGCACCGAAGGCCGUAUGAUUGCCAAAGAAGCAUGAACUAGGGGAAAAGUAAAGGCGGCAGGGGGAGAUCACAACCACCGACUCAAAGACCUAAAAGACUUACCCCCCCCACUCCUUGAACAUGUGCUGUAGAAUAAAAGAACACUGUACUUUUAAUUUGAAGCAGAGAAAACCUUAGCCCAAUAGAAAUGGUGGCACAUAAGCAACUACCAAUAAUGAUUGUGGGGAAGGGCUUCGGUAACUAAGUGGAUCAACCUAAAACUGUAUAAAUUGCUUGCCUGUUUAAAUGCAGGGUGUGCCAGCUUUGUGGAGUCACCCUCUGGCACCCAUCUCUGCGCAGACAUGAAAUAAACAAUAUCUCGGCUCUGUGUGUAAGACUGGCUCAUUGCACACCGGGUACCAAACCCCACUUGGGGGACAACAGAAGGAUUUUAGAGUGGUUAAACUGCAUGAAAACCUUGGAUAGAGAAAUGCAAAUGCUUAUU